rnacentral:rRNA from 1 species
CGAACGCUGGCGGCGUGCCUAACACAUGCAAGUCGUGCGAGAAAGUUCCUUCGGGAGCGAGUAAAGCGGCGCACGGUGAGUAACACGUAGGUAGCCUGCCCCCCAGUCUGGAACAACUAGAGGAAACUCUAGCUAAUGCCGGAUGAGACCACGAUCCCUUCGGGGGUUGCGGCCAAAGAUGGCCUCUACUUGUAAGCUAUCGCUGAGGGAUGGGCCUGCGGGCCAUUAGCUUGUUGGUGAGGUAACGGCUCACCAAGGCUGUGAUGGCUAGCUGGUCUGAGAGGAUGACCAGCCACACUGGGACUGAGACACGGCCCAGACUCCUACGGGAGGCAGCAGUGGGGAAUAUUGCGCAAUGGGGGAAACCCUGACGCAGCAACGCCGCGUGAGUGAGGAAGGACUUCGGUCUGUAAAGCUCUGUUAAUGUGGAAAAAUGGUUAGCGGUCUAAUAGGCCGUUGAUUUGAUGGUACACAUAGAGGAAGCACCGGCUAACUCCGUG